rnacentral:rRNA from 1 species
CAGCCGCCGCGGUAAUACGUAGGUCCCGAGCGUUGUCCGGAUUUAUUGGGCGUAAAGCGAGCGCAGGCGGUUAGAUAAGUCUGAAGUUAAAGGCUGUGGCUUAACCAUAGUAUGCUUUGGAAACUGUUUAACUUGAGUGCAGAAGGGGAGAGUGGAAUUCCAUGUGUAGCGGUGAAAUGCGUAGAUAUAUGGAGGAACACCGGUGGCGAAAGCGGCUCUCUGGCUUGUAACUGACGCUGAGGCUCGAAAGCGUGGGGAGCAAACAGGAUUAGAUACCCCGGUAGUCCCUGUCUCUUAUACC